rnacentral:misc_RNA from 1 species
GAACUCCUAGACACCUUGGUCCCCAAGCAGAAGAAAUUAAACAGAUAAGUAACAGAUAGGUACAUAAGAUAUCUGAAACAUAAACUCCUAAUUUUAAAAACCACAAUGAAUUACCUAUCUUUUCCUUCCCUGUAAAUGAACAAACCAGACAAAAACUUGAAUGAAUAGAUUUAACAAAACUUGUUCUAGAACAAUUAGCUAAUGAAUGCACUUGACAAAACUUGUUCUGGAACAGCUAGCUAAUAGGGAAC